rnacentral:rRNA from 1 species
GACAGAGGGUGCAAGCGUUGUUCGGAAUUACUGGGCGUAAAGCGUGUGUAGGCGGUCCUGUAAGUCAGGUGUGAAAGCCCCGGGCUUAACCCGGGAAGUGCACUUGAAACUGCGUGGCUUGAGUAUCGGAGAGGUUGGUGGAAUUCUCGGUGUAGAGGUGAAAUGCGUAGAUAUCAGGAGGAACACCGGUGGUGUAGACGGCUUACUGGACCAUAACUGACGCUGAGACACGAAAGCGUGGGUAGCAAACAGG